CUGGCUCAGANCGAACGCUGGCGGCAGGCCUAACACAUGCAAGUCGAACGGGAUCUUCGGAUCUAGUGGCGGACGGGUUAGUAACGCGUGGGAACGUACCCUUUUCUACGGAAUAGCCUCGGGAAACUGAGAGUAAUACCGUAUACGCCCUUCGGGGGAAAGAUUUAUCGGAGAAGGAUCGGCCCGCGUAAGAUUAGAUAGUUGGUGGGGUAAUGGCCUACCAAGUCUACGAUCUUUAGCUGGUUUGAGAGGAUGAUCAGCAACACUGGGACUGAGACACGGCCCAGACUCCUACGGGAGGCAGCAGUGGGGAANCUUAGACAAUGGGGGAAACCCUGAUCUAGCCAUGCCGCGUGAGUGACGAAGGCCUUAGGGUCGUAAAGUCUUUCG
rnacentral:rRNA from 1 species